rnacentral:ncRNA from 2 species
AAGAAAUAUAAUUAUUGGCUUCAUAUAUCCUCGAUAAUAUGGUUCGAGAGUCUCUACCGGGUUGCCGUUAACUACCCGACUAUGAAGGCAGUUCUUUUUACC